rnacentral:tRNA from 1 species
GGGGCUGUAGUCUAACUUGGAAGGACGCCAGCCUCGGGCGCUGGUAAUCUGGGUUCAAAUCCCAGCAGCCCCA